UAAACCGGAGGAAGGGUGGGGAUGACGUCAAGUCAGCAUCGGCCUUUAUAUCCUGGGCUACACACACGCUACAAUGGGAAGGGACGAAUAGGUUGCGAAACCGCGAGGUGGAGCCAAUCCAGCAAAACUUCCCUCAGUUCAGAUUGCAGGCUGCAACUCGCCUGCAUGAAGUUGGAGUUGCUAGUAAACGCAAGGUCAGCCAUACUGCGUUGAAUACCGGUUCCCGGGGCUU
rnacentral:rRNA from 1 species